rnacentral:tRNA from 1 species
AGAGAGUUAGUCCAACAAAAGACUUCUGAUUUCGGCUUAGAAAAUUAUGGUUUAAGUCCAUAACCCUCUU